rnacentral:lncRNA from 1 species
GUUAAAUUAUAUUAAAUUGAAAUAAGAAGACAAAAUAAUAUGUUAAAUUUCCUAUAUUAUUAUUUCAGGUUUUUUUUAUUUAUGGAAGAUCUGGGUGUCCUGAACCCCAGCUACAGCUUUUUCCAAACAAUACAUGCUGUGCUUAAUUCCUCUGUAUCUUCUCUGAACACUUUCAUUAAAUGGAAUAAUUCAGGAGAUGAAUAUGGUGUUCUUUUAUGGAACAUAGUGUGGGAUCCUGUCUUCAUUCAAGAGCAGUUAGAAGUUAGAUUUGGUCUGGAUUCUCAGUCCAUCCAGCAGCCCUUAAAUGUUUCUGUCCCCUGGAAAAAGGUUCUCAUAGAAGAAGAGCUGGCGAGGGCUGUUUGUUCAACAGUGUCUCGUGUGUGUGAGAAUAAAUCAUCGUCUAUGGCUGAAACCAGCCUGUGACAAUCAAUACAAGCAAUUGGUAGAGUUUGUCAUCCUCUCUGUGGAUAAGAUCAGACUUGGGAAAGAGGUACAGUAUUGUGCAGCUGAAUAAGUGGACUUUAAUGUCCAAACCAAACUGUCUGCUGCUCAGCAUAUAAAGUGUGAUGAAAUUAAUAUAUUAAAGAGGAAUGAUGCCACAAUGUACUGUAAUUAAUGUUUUCUUCUCCAUUUGGAACAACAGACUUUGUUGUAUACACAGCAGGAAAACCAGAUGGCUUUGGUUGCUAGAAAGUUUAAUGACCAGCACAGUUUAAAAAUAUACUCAAUAUAGUAAGUAAAAUAAGCUAUUGAAAAG